rnacentral:rRNA from 1 species
UGGGGAAUUUUGCGCAAUGGGCGAAAGCCUGACGCAGCCAUACCGCGUGAGUGAAGAAGGCCUUUGGGUCGUAAAGCUCUUUUCUUGGGAAGAUAAUGACCGUGCUUUAAGAAUAAACAUCUGAUAACUCCUUGCCAACAACCACCGUAAUACUCAGGGUGCAAGCGUUGUUCAGAUUUAAUGGGGCUAAAGGGCACCUAAGUUACUGAGCAUAUUAAGGGUGAAAUCCCGGUGCUCAACUCCAGAACUGCUCUUAAAACUGCUCAUCUAAACAUCGUUCGAUGCUGGUGGAAUUCCAUGUGAAAAAGUGAAAUUCAAAUAUAUCUGGAGGAACAACGUUGGUAAAUGUGUCCAGCAAGAACUAUGCUGACGGUGACGUGCUGAAGCGUGACUAACGAUCAGGAUUAAAUGCCCUGGUAGUCCACGCCAUUAACGAUGAUGACCGGCUGUUUGGAUAAUCGAGAAUCCUAGUGGUACAGCUAAUUCAAUCAUUGUGCCGCCUGGUUAGUACGGUCGCUAGACUA